GCCACCAGCAGACCAUUAAUAGAUAUGCUGGCUGCACCAGAUCAGAUAUUCAGCCAUGGAAAAACGAAAAGGCCAGAUAACGUGCAAAUAUUCUCCUGACAUAUGGGAGGAGAGGAGCGUAGAGCCGAGGAUUCAAAUAAGACAAACAGACGAGAUGGGAUCCAGCGAUCCAGCUGAUUUGGACACGGUGCUGCACGUUAUCAUGCAAUGGCUGCGCCUCCCUGAGCCUGGUUCUGCUGGAGGUUCCUUCCUCUUAAAGGAGAGUUUUUCCUUCCCAAUGUCACCAAGUGAUUGUUCACAGGAGGUCUAAAUGUUGAGGAUUUCACCCUGAACUGACUGUUGUUGUGAUUUAGUAGCAUACACACAAAAGUGAAUUGCAUUGAAUUGAACUGAAUUGAAUUGAUUGAAUGAAAAGGGACAGAGUCUUGUUCUCGCCAUGGCUUGCACGUGUGUCACGCCUCUUUUUAAAAUGAAGCUAAAAACACUUCAGCUGUAAAAACUUGAUGAAAGCUCCUCUGGCAAGCAUUUUAAGAAUUGACACGUCCUUCAACAUGGCAUACUGGGAUUGAUUUCCGGGUCACAGGCAGGAAGAUGGAGGGCAGAGGAGAUGAGGAGGUACAAAUUAGAUUUUCUAUUUUCUACUUGAGCAUUCAAAGCACUUUCUUAUACAAGCCUCCUUCACCCAUUUGCACACACAUUCGUAAAAGCACCUUUUUAUAUGCCUAGGUGCUUCUGACCUAACAUCCACACACUCACACUUUGAUGGAUGCAUCAGGGUAAUGUACGGUUCAGCGUCUUGUCCAGAGUAGUUCAAUACGCAGACUAGUCAGGGAUUGGACCACUAACAUUAAAUAAAUGACCUGUUUUUCCUCAUGAGUCACAGCCGCUCCAAUGGAGAGAAAUGCCUCCAGUUUAGACAAGAGAAGCUUGUUUUUGUCACUGCAGGGCUGCCGCCCCUGCUUUGCCAGCCUCAUAUUGAGUCUAAGAUUAAAAUUUGCUCUUAUGUGUGUCUUUCUUUUGUUUUCUUACUUCCCUCAUUCGGUUGGUGUAAUAACCCUGAAUUGGAUAACAUGGAGAAAAUUGAUGGAUACAAGUCGAACUUUGUCAGAGUUGGAAACAACCAAUAACAUAAAGCUAAAUUUGCACUAUAACUACUCAUAACUGUCAUGCUUUACGGAUAGGUGUGUUGUCAUUUUAACGGAUUGCAGUGGUUAUGAUAGAAGGCCAUUUUAAAAGCACAGUUUAAUCUUUGCUGUGAUUCAGUUUCUGUUUUUAUGGACUGAUUAUAAUACCUGUAGUGUUUCUUUUCAGGUGUUUUAUGUGAAGUAUUUUUUUUGUAAAUAAUUGUAUUUUAUGUUAAUAAAACAACAUCUCUGGUCCCUGAUUUAGUACCAAUUAAGCAUAGUUUAGACACCACCACGUACCUAAGUAUUGUUUCUGACCAUGUCCAUUCUUUUAUAACCACACUCUACCCAUCUUCUGAUAGACUCCUCGUGUCACAAAGUUCCAAUCAUCCCAAACUAGUUUCUUGAACGAGGAUGUGCAUCUUGAACGCGCAGCAACUGCGUGAUGCUAUCUUUCAAUUUGGACCAAAACCUCUGAGGAAUGUUUCUAGCACCUUGUUUGACCUCUGUUAAGAAGAAUUCGGGCAUUUCUGAAGCCAAAAGUGGAGCAGCUCAGUACUAAAGUGUGCACUGAGUGUACAUGUACAGCCAUGUUCUUGCUACAGGACAUGUCACAAUAAGACUAUUUAACAAAAUUCAUAACAAACAGAAAGUGCUGGAACUAUAUGCCAUAUUCACUGUUAAUGAGAGAUACAGCCAUAUGCACCACAGCAGCUGACAUGUUCUGUGCUCACUUUGUGGUAACAUGAGCUCAUGGGUUAACAUAUGGCACUGCACUUCUAUUACUUUCCUCCUUACUCCAUUAAGCCUCACUCCUCACCUCCUGAGACGCUAAAACCCAUCUGACCACAGCUGGGAAUCCCCACUGCAAUGACAACUCAAUUUAGUGGUGAACAGAUUUUGCCUGAACUUUCUGCCAUCUUUAAACAUAAUCCCACUGCUGCCAUCAUACCGUUAACAAGAGACACACACACGCACGAGGAAAAGCACAUCCACAAAUGAACACCAUCACCUCCAGCACUCCCUGGGCUCUAUUUAUAGGUUCCCAGGGACAGCACGUCCUCGCUAAAGAUAGUCUGAAGAGUAAGCUGGUCUUUUAAUCACCAUUUCAUACAACAGAUAUCUAAUACCUAUACUGCAAAAGCAGCUUUGUACUUCAUAUAACUAUAGUUGUUUGCAGCAUCUGUCAGCUUGCAGAUCAGUUAUAAAUAUUCACAAAUAUAAUUAAUGUGAAGCCGGUGUGUUAAUUAGUGCAUGGAUAUGUCUGCAGCAUAUUUGCUGCCAUGCUGCAUGGUCAGAAAACCAUGUGGGAGGAAAACAAAUCACUGCAAUGACCUAUUGCAUAUUCACCAACUUUAGACUCGCCUGAACAAACACUCAAACACCACAAUAGUUAAUGAAACUCAUUAUCAGCACCAACAGAAUGAGGGAAGUAAGAGAACCACCAGCGAUGGAGUGGCUGUUUUUCUUUGACUUUUCAUUAGAUCUCUUUCCUAAUCAACAAGCACUCCAAGUA